GCGACAGAUUUUGCAGUGAAAAUUCACUUGGAAGAAAAUUGGGAGGUCCCUUAAACAUCUCAAGUAUUUUCUACGGUGAGAGGAAUGACUGCACCAUUUUCCUGAGCUAUGGCAGUCAGACCUGGUAGCAGUAACUUCUCCACAGAACCCCCAAACCCGGCAAGAAUGGUUCAGAUUUUGGCAGAUUAUGGCUUCAUCCCCACCCAGAACUGAUGUUAUCAGCAGAGCAACUUUCAUUGUUAGAGAGAGGAGAGAGAGAGAAGCCUUGUUGGUUGACGUCACUUGGUUCAUGAAGCCUUCGCCUAGAAGUGAAGCUGCUGAACAAACCUUGAGAAGAAUCAUCUCCUGCUUCAAUCUGCUGCUGGAUAGGAACUAA
rnacentral:lncRNA from 1 species